rnacentral:lncRNA from 1 species
CAGAGAGCCCGUGGCCGGCCCUGGGUCCCACCGCUGCCGGCCCAGCGCUUUGGGGAGUGACUUCCGGCCAUGCGGGGCCUCUACCGCUGCCAUCGCGGUCCCGGUCUCCUGAAGUGGAACCCGGCUUGGAGUCGAGCGCGACCCCUCGCCCGUGGGCGCAGGCGAUCGAGUAAGGGUGGGGCGGGCCUCAAACCCGGAUCAGAACCCGCCCUGACCGGCGCAGAGAUACGGGACGCAGCCGUGAGCACUGUUUUUUAUUUCACCAUGGACCCAUCGGCGUGGGGCGCCCGCCCCGGGUGUCCUUCCUCCCCCGGGCAGCCAGAUGCUGGAACGGGAGGCACAUGUUCCGGCCCCGGCCCCUGGGAAGGAAAGAAAGGACCUUCCCGUUUCACUUGUCUCGGCUGAACAUGUAGCGGAGGAGGUCGACCACCCGGUGACUGUAGCCAUAUUCGUUGUCGUACCUGUGGAGGAGGGGUCGGGAGGUUCAAGGGGGUUCCUUCCGACCACCCCUUAGUUCCCCUCCCUCUAAGUCUCCAGCUCCUUCCCCCUUACCAUGAAAUGAGCUUCACGAAAUUGUCAUUGAGCGCAAUGCCGGCCUUAGCAUCGAAGAUGGACGAGUGGGUAUCACCGAGGAAGUCCGUAGAGACGACCUGGAAGUCAGAAUUUCAAAGAUAAGUGUGUCCGGCAGAGCAAGGACCUCCAGGAGCUGAGGCCCCGACUCUUAACUCUAUCGCCCAUCCAUGCAUUCAUCUAUAAUAUUUGAUGUAGCCCUACUGUGUCCAGUCUCUGGACUGGAGGGUAUGACCAAGUGCAGGGUAUGACCAAGGCACUGUGUCAGGGUCUGGCCAAAGGGCACAGGUCACAAACACCCUCAUGCUGUACCAGUACAUCCCUUUCCUAGGAAUAAUGCAAGCGUUUGGAAUGGGCCAGCAUGGAGGGCCUCUCUGAGGGGUGGCCAUGAGCCUGGGUCUAGAUGACUAGAAAGAUCUGACCGGCUGGGGCCCUCAGCACAGUGUCUGAGGUAGAAGGAGCUGCAGGAAGGGAGGACCUGAGGGUUUUAGCCCUAGUGUCAUGAAAGGCCACAGGAGUGUUUUCAAUCCUGAAAACGGGUGAUGCAAUGUGAUUCCAUUAAAACAAAAGAUCCCAGUGACUGUGGGAAAGUGGACCUGCAGGAGUUAAUGCAGGGAGACAGCACCAAGGUGGAUGUACAGGGGUCCACCAUGACCAUGGCAUCCACUCCUCACAGAGAAGGCAUCUGGCCAUGGCCUGGCCCUGAGCAAGUAUUGAAAAAAAUGGGAGCUGUUGUCUUUUGUUCACUAAGCAUGUAUUAGUCACCUGCUGUAUGCCAGGUUGGAGCCACAAAAGUGAAAAGGCAGCCCCUAAAUCCCUGUUUUCUUGGAGUGCACACACCACUGGGGCCAACAGUGACUAUGAAAUGAAAUUUCAGGUGAGGAAUAUGGCCACAAAAAGAACAUAUUUUGAGGGGGUGCCUUGCUGAAGAGGGAGGUUCCUCCAGAGACUUGGAGGAAGUAAGGACAGACUGUAUGGUCACCUGGCAAGGGAAGCAUUCCAGACUAAAGGAACAGCAAGUGCAAAGGCCCUGAGGCAGGGAGAUCUCCCUUCCUGCCCUGCAGUUUCUGACUUGGCACAUUGAGAGCAGCUCCCUGGCAAGUGGAAAUCAUGUCCCUUCCCAGAGGGCUCCUCCCAGGGUCUCCUCUCCUCAGCCCCUACCUCAUCCUCGGUGUAGGCAAGGAUGCCAGCCAUGGGCCCCUUGGCUGCUGCUUUUACAGCCUCCUUGAUGGCUGAGUAGGGGGCAGGCUGGGCGAGGCGGCAGGUCAGGUCCACGACAGACACAUCCGGGGUUGGUACCCGGAACGCCAUCCCUGUCAGCUUCCUGGAGAAUCCCCCAUGAGGAACAGGAGUCAGAACUUAGGGACGUUGCCCUCCAUUCCCCCUUUCCCUGUGGCUGGGCCAGGCCCCUGCUUUCCUCUUAAGGACUGAGGGCCGGGCCAGUCCAGUCCUCCUGGCGUAUGCCCCCACCCUGGUUGCAGCUUCUUGUCCUCAUACCCUUUGAGCUCUGGGAUGACUUUGGUCACAGCUUUCGCAGCCCCAGUGGAGGCUGGGAUGAUGUUCUGGUGGGCACCCCGCCCAUCUCGCCAGGCCUUCCUUGAUGGCCCGUCCACUGUCUUCUGGGUGGCCGUGUAGGAAUGGACUGUGGUCUUGGGGAAGAGAAGGACCAAGAUGAGGCCUUCAUGCUCCUAAGCUCCCAUGCCUCUUUUUUCCAGGACUAAGUUGGUGGCCUAGGUGUGGAGGCUGGUGGGGCCACCACCACAGACCACAGGAGGGGAUGUGUGCAGGCCAGGGUCCAGCCUUGCCUGAGGGUUGCACAGUGUUUUAAGUGACUUCUGCACUGGUGGGCCUCUCCUCCCGAAACCAGUCUCUCCCUCUUAACUCCAUACAGUAAGCAAGGCCCGGGAAGAAGUUGGGUUUCCCUGCCAUCCUUCCUGCCCCAGCCCCUCAUCCUCAACUCACCAUCAACCCUUCCACGAUCCCAAAUCGCUCGUGGAUGACUUUGGCGAGGGGAGCCAAACAGUUGGUGGUGCAGGACGCGUUGCUGAAACAGCCAAGGUGUGCACGGACACUGUGAGGUGAGUCGCAGAGCCACCCCUCCACCCUUACCCCUCUUGGGGUAUGCACGCAGACUUGGUUUUAUGAAACGUCAGGAUGAGGGUGAGAGGGAUCUGUGGGGACACUGUCAGACUGAAGGAGGCACUGAGGUGCAGCUGGGGAGGCUCCCCAAGCUUGUCCUCUGGAAGUCAUGCGUUUUUAGCAGAUAGUUUCGGGAAGGAGAAGCAGAAGCCAAGCGACCAGGAAUCCAGUGGGGCUGAGGGUGGGGAGGACGAGUCUACCCUCCCUUCCACACAUUGCAGGAUGUCACUGCCCACAUUACCUCACAAUGUUCAUGGAGCCAGGGUUAUAGUCAUUUUCAUUGACACCCAUGACGAACAUUGGUGCAUCCGGUGAGGGCGCGGAGAUGACCACACGUUGAGCACCUGCAGAGAUGUGGUCCUGGGGAGGAAGCGCAGGUGUCAGGGGCUUCUGGCACCAUCAUCCCCCCAGCUAGCCCUGGGCACCUCUCCCCAGCUUACCGAAGCUGCCUGUAUGGAGAGGUACACGCCUGUGGACUCCACCACGUAGGGGCUCCCGACAGCCCUCCAGGGGAUCUGUUUGGGCUCUUUGCUGUGGGGAAGUGGCAGGGCUGAGUCAGUCUCCCCUGCUUGAGCCCCACCUUCAUAGUCCAUGGCUUUCACCAUUUGACAGGCUGAGCAGGUACCGGCCCACCUGCAACCACCUGCGUCCCCUACCCCACACACCUACUUGUUCCAGAUGGGCUCCACCCCGCUGGCCUAGCUUUUCACCACUGCCCCACUUCAGACCACUUUCCCUUUGCUGAUUGCACCACCCCUGUUAUGCCUGGGUACAGGUGGUGACCUCCCCAACUCAGCCCUCAACCUCCUCAGAGGCGCCAAUGCUGACUGCUGUCAGCCAGCCCAGACCCUUUCUCCAUAUGCUGCCCGGGACGUGGACUCUGUGACUGUGAGGCCUGCCCGGCUGCUUUCUGCUUCCCAGCUCUGACAACCUCGCCAUGAACCCUCCUAGACCCUCAGCUCCUGCAAUAGGAAGCUGGCUGCCAAAGGCCAGGAGGGUCCCUGAAAACAGACACUGCAUUAAAGAAAAAGCUCCUGGAGGACUCCUGAAGCCUGAGGCAGCCUUGGGGCAGCAGUGGCUCAUGGUUUACAUUGGAAAGGUUUAUCAUGAGUAACCGGGUGCUUUGCUUCUGUGAUUCUUGGCCAGUGUCGGUCUGUUUCCUUUGCCAUUGAGCCUGCUCCCCUCAAUGGGGGGUUCAAUCAAUGUUUGUGGGGUUUGUUUGUUUUGAGACAGGGUCUUCCUCUGUCGCCCAGGCUGGAGUGCAGUGGUGCAAUCAGAGCUCACUGCAGCCUUGAUCUUCCUGGCUCCGGCCAUCCUCCUGCCUUGGCCUCCCGAGUAGCUGGGACUACAGGCGCACACCACCAUGCCAAGCUAAUUUUUAAAUUUUUUUGUAGAGAUGGGGUCUCACUUUUGUUGCCCAGGGUGCUUUAGAACCCCUGGGCUCAAGUGAUCCUUGACCUCCCACAGUGCUGGGAUUACAGGUGUGAGCCACCGUGCCUGGCCUCAUGGGUUUUCUUUGUUUUGUUUUGUUUUGUUUUUGAGACAGAGUCUCACUCUGUCACUCAGGCUGGAGUGCAGUGGCACGAUUUUGGCUCACUGCAACCUCCACCUUCCGGGUUCAAGCGAUUCUCCUGCCUCCGCCUCCCGAGUAGUUGGGGUUACAGGCAUGCGCUACCACACCUGGCUAGUUUUUUAUUGUUGUUGUUUUUUGUAUUUUUAGUGGUGACGGGGUUUGCUCUGUUGGCCAGGCUGGUCUCAAACUCCUGACCUCAGGUGAUCCCCACUUCAGCCUCCCAAAGUGCUGGGAUGACAGGCAUGAGCCUCUGCACCUGGCCUCGUGUUUUUUUUUUAGUUAGCCAUUUUAUACGUGUUUACUGAACACCUGUCCUGUGCCCAUAUUCUAAGUGCCUUACCUGCAUUAAACUCAUGUAACCUUCACAACCCGAUGAGGAAGUGCUACCGCUGUCAUUUUUUGCAUUUUUUUACUGCUGUCAGGGCAGAGGGGAGGGGAG